ACGGGACAAUUUUUUUGUUCAGCAUUCCAGAAAACACAAUUUAUGGCACAUGUCCAGUUCUUAUUUACUAACCAGAGAACUAGCUGCAGCUGUUUAUUAUGACUGGUUGUGCCAGUUUGAUAGUGUGUAAUCAUAUUUACAUAAAGAUAAAAAGGAAGGUGUUAUAGAAUAGCAUUUAGCCAUGCUUUUACCAUGGAUUAAAGGUAAUUUUAGAGUAAUUAGGUGUAAUUUGUUAAAGAAUUCUUCCCAGCAAAUGAUGACUCUGAUUUCAUAAUUACAGGACAAUGCAUACUACGGCUUUCAAGGUAGGAUAAAACAUACCUGAGGGGAUAGCGUCCCACACUAGACAGAUCUAGUGUUGUUAUGAAAGGCAGGUGUUUUGUGAGAUUUCAGCUACACACUUUAACACCUGCAAUGUAUUAGCCAUAGCAGUGAUGUUAAUGAAGAACAGGUGCUUCUUUCACCCUCCAGACAAGAAACUGGCAUAAGUGUUACUGUGUGCUGUGUGGGAAUCUCCCAUUUGUAUCUCCAGAUGGGCUCUGAUGCCUGCCAGAAGGUUUCAGAUUGUCCACUCCCUGCAAUUUAUAACAGUUAAGGAAAAGUUAAUAAUGGCUCUGAGAGGGGAGAAAAAAAGAAACCUAUUGAAAAGGAAAAUAAAAGGGAAAAGGUCUACAUUCUCAGCAGGAGCUUGGUUAAUUAUCUGACUCCUUCCCAGCCACUUCUGGCACAUGACAUUACCUCAGCAAAACAAUUAGCCUUUCUGCGCUGUGUGAAAAACACAGGGAUGGCCAAACACCAGAAUGUGUGACAUGGUGUUUAACUCUAAGGGCCUAGUUAAAUUAGAGCAGACCUGAAGUACUGCAGGUAUAUGGCUUGUUGUUCCUUUUUUUUGAACUGGAAAUACAGAGUGGUAGGAGAAAGGAAAGUUAUGCAUAAGGUAGUUUUUAAAGGCUAAGACGUGUUGUAGUGUAUGUAAUGAAUCCUAUUGUAGUGUCCAAUCAAUGAACUCUCCUGUACUGAACUCAGAAGCAGCAAAGAAGUAGACUCAUACAAUGUGUUUUCUUUCCUUGCUCAUUUGCUACUGACUUUAUUCUGUGUUUGGAAUACCUAUGGAGUCUUUCGCCAAAGAUUGCUGAAGCCAUAAUACGUUUAAACCAUUUCAAACCAAUAUAUCCAUAUAUAACCCAACUAUUGUGGAUCUACUUGAUUUCUGGGAAGGUGAUCAAGCAGCUAGUCCUGAAAACCAUUUCCAGCCACAUUUAGGAUGAGAAAAUCAUUGCAAUGGAUAUUGCCUACAUGACUUCAGUAAAGCCUCUGACACUGUCUUCCAUAAGAUCCUUGUAGACAAGAUGUUAAUAUAAAGACUGGAUGAGGAUGCCGUGAGAUGGAUUAAAAACUAGCUAAAUGGCCAGGCCCAGAGAGUGGUGAUUAGUGAAACAAAGUCUAUUUGGAGGCCAGGGCCAUGAAAGGCCAUGCAGACAACGAAGGGACUGCAGCAUAUCUCCUAUGAAGAAAGGCUGAGAGCUGGGACUAUUCAGCCUGAAGAAGGGAAGGCUCAACAGGGAUCUUAUUGAUGUAUCAAAAUACCUGCAGGGAGGAUGCAAAGAGGGUCUUUUCAUUGAUGCCCAAUGACAGGAUUAGAGGCAAUGGGCACAAACUGCAGCACAGGAGAUUCUGUCUAAACUUCAGAAAACACAUUUUCACUGUAAACAACUGAAAAUGUUUACCAUUUCAGUGGUUAAAAUUUUCAACAUUUACUAAAUACUGACACAGGUUCCCCAGAAAGGUUUUAGACUCUAUUCUUGGAGAUAUUAGAAAGCCAUCUGUACAUGGUCUUGUUCAACUUGCUUUAAGUGGUCCUGCUUGAGCAGGGGCCUUGAAGCAGAUGACCUCCAGAGGUCUCUUCCAGCCUCAACCAUUUUGUAAUUAUGUGAUUCCAUGAUAAUAUGAUCUUUACCUGAUCCCUCUUCCCAUUGCUGACCUUAACACGUCAUACAGCAGCCACUGA